rnacentral:rRNA from 1 species
UUAAUAUUAGUUAUGAAAUAUAUUUCAAGAAAUUUUAUAUCUAGUUUUUUAAGAGUUUAAGUUUAAUGAAUAAUUUUUAUAAAAAUUAAUAUGGUUUAGCUUAUUAAUUUUAUAUAUUGUAAUAAUUUUAUGACCUUAGUAAAUUUGAUAGUGUUUAUUUUAUAAAUUUAUAAUGGAGGGUAAUAUGAAUAUAAAUUUUUAUUUAUUAUUGAUUUAUUAAAAAAUUUAUUAAAAUUUUAAAGUUUUAUUUAUAAUGAAAAAAUUAGUAAAAAUUUAUUUAUAUUUUAAAAUAUUUAAUAAGAUAUAUAAUGUUAUAAUUAUUAUAAAAAAUGAAUUCGGCAAAAAUUAUUAUUUGACUGUUUAGCAAAAACAUUGUUUCAUGAAAAAAAUAUGAAAUAAUGUCUGUCCACUGAUAUAUUUGAAGGACUGCAGUAUAUUGACUGUAUAAAAGUAGCAUAAUCAUUAGCUUUUUAAUUUGGGGUUGGUAUGAAGGCGAAACGGAUAAGUUCUUUAUUCCUUACAAAUAUUUAAAUUUUAUUUUUAAGCGAAAAAUCUUAAUUAUUUGAGAGGGACUACAAGACCCUAAUAAGUUUUAUUUUUCCUUUAUUUAUGUUAUAGGAAAUAAAAAUUAGAUAAUAUUAUAUUAGAAAUUUGAUUGGGGCGAUUAGUUAUAAAACAUAAUUAAAUU